GACGAACGCUGGCGGCGUGCUUAACACAUGCAAGUCGAACGGAAAGGCCCUGCUUUUGUGGGGUGCUAGAGUGGCGAGCGGGUGAGUAACACGUGAGUCACCUGCCCUUGACUUUGGGAUAACUUCAGGAAACUGGGGCUACUACCGGAUAGGAGCUCCUGCUGCAUGGUGGGGGUUGGAAAGUUUCGGCGGUUGGGGAUGGACUCGCGGCUUAUCAGCUUGUUGGUGGGGUAGUGGCUUACCAAGGCUUUGACGGGUAGCCGGCCUGAGAGGGUGACCGGCCACAUUGGGACUGAGAGACGGCGCAGACUCCUACGGGAGGCAGCAGUGGGGAAUAUUGCACAAUGGGCGGAAGCCUGAGGCAGCAACGCCGCGAUCGGGAUGACGGCCUUCUGGUUGUAAACCGCUUUCGCCUGUGACGAAGCGGGAGUGACGGUAAUGGGUAAAGAAGCACCGGCUAACUACGUG
rnacentral:rRNA from 1 species